UACGGAGGGGGCUAGCGUUGUUCGGAAUUACUGGGCGUAAAGCGCGCGUAGGCGGCUUUGUAAGUUAGAGGUGAAAGCCCGGAGCUCAACUCCAGAACUGCCUUUGAUACUGAGGGGCUCGAGUCCGGGAGAGGUGAGUGGAACUGCGAGUGUAGAGGUGAAAUUCGUAGAUAUUCGCAAGAACACCAGUGGCGAAGGCGGCUCACUGGCCCGGUACUGACGCUGAGGUGCGAAAGCGUGGGGAGCAAACAGG
rnacentral:rRNA from 1 species